CCUACGUGUGGCAGCAGUCGAGAAUCAUUCACAAUGGGGGAAACCCUGAUGGUGCGACGCCGCGUGGGGGAAUGAAGGUCUUCGGAUUGUAAACCCCUGUCAUGUGGGGGCAAAUUAAAAAGAUAGUACCCCAAGAGGAAGAGCCGGCUAACUCUGUGCCAGCCGCCGCGGUAAUACAGAGGUCUAAAGCGUUGUUCGGAAUCACUGGGCGUAAGGGUUGCGUAGGCUGUUUCGUACGGGGUGUAUUAAAGGCGCGGGCUCAACCCGCGGACGGCACAUGAUACUGCGAGACUAGAGUAAGGGAGAGGGAACCGGAAUUCUCGGUGUAGCAGUGAAAUGCGUAGAUAUCGAGAGGAACACUCGUGGCGAAGGCGGGUUCCUGGACAUUAACGGACGCUGAGGCACGAAGGCCAGGGGAGCGAAAGGGAUUAGAUACCCCAGUAGUC
rnacentral:rRNA from 1 species